AUGGACCACGCGUCCACUGCCGUUCUGAGCGCGCCGUCCGCGCCCACCUGACAGCGGCGAUGGAAGACGUGUGCU
rnacentral:sRNA from 1 species